CAGACAAUUUUAGGCCGAGAUACACAAUGGUUCUUACAAUUGAUGAGGUUUUUGUCAAGAUUGGUGUGUUUCAUCAGUAUCAAUGGUACCUAUUGACCAUCGUGGGCUAUACAGUGUUAUCACUUUCUUCAUUUCCUAUCAUGAUAGUGACGUUUAUUACAGCAGAACCAAAGUGGAAAUGUGUUGAUGGGUAUAUGAAUAAUACCGUAUGUAGAUUUAACAAAUCAAUAUCAUUAACCAGUGAUAAUUACAAAGCAAGAUGUAAAAUGCCGAGAGAAGCUUGGACGUUUGUAGAUGACUUUACAUCAGCUGUUACCGAG